GAUGAAGAACGCAGCGAAAUGCGAUACUUGGUGUGAAUUGCAGAAUCCCGUGAACCAUCGAGUCUUUGAACGCAAGUUGCGCCCGAAGCCACUAGGCCGAGGGCACGCCUGCCUGGGCGUCACACGCCGUUGCCCCCCCAUCUACUCCUUCGGGAUUGCGGGGGGGCGGAUGAUGGCCUCCCGUGCGCCUAGCCGCGCGGUUGGCAUAAAUACCAAGUCCUCGGCGACGCACGCCACGACAAUCGGUGGUUGCGAAACCUCGGUUGCCCGUCGUGUGCGUUCGUCGCGCAUCGAGGGCUCGAAAAAAUGCUCGGCUCCGGCUGGGCUUUCAACGCGACCCCAGGUCAGGCGGGGUUACCCGCUGAAUUUAAGCAUAUCAAAUAAGCGGAGGA
rnacentral:misc_RNA from 1 species